CCUUGUCUUUGUUCUAACCUGCAGGACAUGGAGAAAUUGCUCUCGAGUACUCGUCUUCCACUGCUGAUGUACUCCAAAGAAGCUGCCACAUCUAUCCGAAGAACAGAUAAGGCAAGCGAAAAUGAUACCAGCAGCAUGUGUAGACAACGUGCAGAAGAAACAAGCAGAGAAGAAUGCAGCUUGCACAAUCAUCCCAGCGGAAGGAGUCUGAGAUGAAGAACUAGAGAAGCUGCCACAUCUGCUUGGAGAACAAAUAAGGAAUUGAGCCUGCACAAUCAACUCGAGAGCAGAAGGAAUCUGAGUUGAAGAACUCAAGAAACUUCAACAACAUCGCAAAGAGCAAAGCUCCGCCGUACAAUAUCAUAAAAUCAUCACUUGCAAGUGAAAAGCUAAGUGUCACCCUGUUCAAGAGGAAAGCUGUGGAAAGUCAACAAGCACGACCAAUGAUUACUUAUUAGUUUUAUUCAUUAUCUUUUAUCGUAAUUUUCAAUUUUUCGUUUGCAAUUUUUUUUUAAUUAAUUUUCUUGCGUUACUUAACUGAAUUAUUUCUUUUCUUUGCAGGAACUUUUGGUUAUUUCCACCCUUGAAGUUGAUUGCAGAAUUUUAGCUUGGGGGGUCAUCGCUUGAUUUUACUGCAAAUUAGGGAAGUUUUCAGUCUAAUUGCUUUAUUUUGUUUCUUAUUAUUUAUUUAUUUAUUUUAUUUUUAUUUGCAUUAUAGUGUUUUCUGACAUUGGGGACAAUGUCAAGUUUAAGUGUGGGGGUAGAAAUCUCCAGAAUUUCAUUUGUCUCUGUGUUGUUGUUUUUUGUGUUCUUAAUUAGUUUUGUUUUCUUUUAAAAAAAAUUUAAAUUAAAAAAAUUUCGGAAAAUUUAAAAAUAAAAAAAAAUAUUGUCUUGUUUCCCUUAUUGUUUUGAAUUAGAUUUUUGUUAGUUUCCCGACCCAAUGAUAUAAUUGGAUCAAAUUUGAACCAUGAUCAUCAAGAACUUAGUUAACAUGUGUUUUAUGAAAUUCCUAAUUCUCUUGUUAGUUAUGUACAUGUUUGAUCAUCUUUGAAAAACCAAAUGCACAUAGCCUUGUUGAUGUGAAACUAAAGUAUGACUUAAAGCUUCAUAUGUGAAUUUAGUGACCAUAUACAUCCUAUGUGAGUUUUCGAGCCGAUUGAAAGUGUGUGCAUUUUUCAUACACUCCUAUUCUUUCAUGUGUGAGGAACUUAUGUGAGAUACAUCUCUAGAACUUGCGUAACGAUCUUUCGAAAUGUUUGUCAUUGAUUGCAUGAACUUGGAAAUGAUAGAGGCAUUAGGUUUACCACUAUGGACCAAAUAACCAUGUUUCCCAAAGAAAAAUGAUAUCAUUAGAUUGCCAAUUUGAGCCGUGUAUGUUGAGCCUUUUAUUUCUUAUCACCAGAUAUGUCUACCCUUAUACCUGAAAUUUUUUUCCUUACCCUUUCCAAGCGAGCAAUGCGAGAUUGUCUUAUGAGAAACGUUUAUGAAGUACUUUGAAGGUGUUUGGCAAAAGAAUAAGUGUGGGGGUAUUUCAUGUUUGUAUAAAAAAAAAAAAAAAAAAAAUUAAAAAAAAAAAAAAAAAAAAAAAAGAGAAAAGAAAAAAGAAAGAUUGUACACAAAGAAAAUAAAAAGUUUUUAAAGUUUCAGUUAAGGGUGUGGUUGGAGGUGUUAGAAGAAUCGUUGGAGAUCUUGAGUUUUUAUGAAUCUAAAGAAAAGAAUUGCUUGCAAUGUAGCUUGGAACUUGUGUUUUCCUAUUCUUUCAUUUCAAUAACCCUCUCCCUAAACCUCAUUACAUCCAAUAAAAGUCCUCUUGAUUUAAGUUUUGCAAUUAUGAUUGUGGAGAUGAGAUCUUUAUGCAAGCUUAUAGUAGAAAUUUCACAUUUGAUUCUUUGAGCGAAACACAUUAAAACUAAACACAUGUGUGAUUGAGUGCAUAUCCCGUGAGAAGUUCGCUAGUUUGCAUAUGAUGAUUUUAAAAAUAAAAACUUGAAAUUGCAUUAGCAUGGCUAUUUCACACACUACACUUCAAGGAUGAUUCAAAGAUUACUGCUGAUAUUUGAAUAAGGAAAAUGAACUUGGAUUAGUUUGUUUGGUGCUAGCUAUGGUUCUUGAUGAUUUGUUUUCUCGAAUGAAAUUCUAUGAGAGUCACAUAGGGGGAAACUAAUGUUUUUCAUGUUAUUACUUUUCAUGUUUUCUUUGUUUUGCUCGAGGACUAGCAAAAGUUAAGUGUGGGGGUAUUUGAUCGGAUCAUAUUUAUAUAUAUUUUUACUUCAAAUUUACCCGUCUUUUCUUAGUUAGUUCCUUAUAUUUUUGAGCUAUUUACGUUAUUUUUGUGUUUAUAGGAUUUGUUAUGCAAAGAAAAUAAAAAUAGAAUAAGUGAAAUUUUAUUCGUGAAAAGCAAAUUUAAAUUACAAUAUUGCUAACUCAUUGUGACGCUAAAUGAUAAACCAAUAUUUAAACUUUAUAUUUCAUCAUUUUAUAUUUCAUCAUUUUAUAUUUCUUUUCUUGUCUAAUUUAUUUGGAAGCUUUAAG
rnacentral:lncRNA from 1 species